rnacentral:rRNA from 1 species
AUUGAACGCUGGCGGCAGGCCUAACACAUGCAAGUCGAGCGGAUGAGAAGAGCUUGCUNUUCGAUUCAGCGGCGCACGGGUGAGUAAUGUAUAGAUAACCUGCCCUCUAGAAAGGAAUAACAGUUGGAAACGACUGCUAAUGCCCUAUAUGCCUUUAAUACAUAAGUAUGCAAGGGAAACGCUUUAGUGCUAGAGGAUGGGUCUGUAUGGUAUCAGUUAGUUGGUGAGGUAAUGGCUCACCAAGACUAUGACGCCUAACUGGUUUGAGAGGAUGAUCAGUCACACUGGAACUGAGACACGGUCCAGACUCCUACGGGAGGCAGCAGUGGGAAUAUUGCACAAUGGACGAAAGUCUGAUGCAGCAACGCCGCGUGGAGGAUGACACAUUUCGGUGCGUAAACUCCUUUUAUAUAGGAAGAUAAUGACGGUACUAUAUGAAUAAGCACCGGCUAACUCCGUG